AUGCGCGCUCCAUGUGGCGUCCACAAUGAUCUCCGACCACUGCCCCAUGCUUCUUAUAGGCGAGCAGCAAUACAAGACGACAGGUGCUUCCGUUUUGAGGCCUUUUGGUUCAAACUGCCUGGGCUGGAGCAGAUUGUGGCCACGGCUUGGAACAUACCAGUGCUGGGCACAAAUGCGCUUAGGUCCCUCCACAUCAAGUUAUCCAGAACAGCUAGCGCGAUCCAACGAUGGAGCUCGGAGACGGUUGGGAAUCUCAGGCUCCAAUUUGCGGUGGCCUCGAAAAUAAUUCCAAGGCUUGAUCAAGCCCAAGAGGAGAGGGUUCUGACUCAGGAGGAGUUGGGUUUCCGCAAAGCCCUCAAACAUAGGUUGCUGGGCAUCGCGGCGGUGGAAAGCACGAGAAUGUGUCAGCGUUCGCGACAGAUCAGGAUUUGGGACAGGGAUACUAGCACCAGGUUCUUCCACAUUAAGGCAAGCUCUAGGAGAAGGCGAAAUUUCACAUCAGGAUUCGACAGAUCAGGUUUCAGGACGGGGAUGCCAGCAACAGAUUCUUCCACAUCAGAAAUGAAAUAA
rnacentral:rRNA from 1 species